UACUCCUACGGGAGGCAGCAGUGGGGAAUUUUGGACAAUGGGCGAAAGCCUGAUCCAGCAAUGCCGCGUGUGUGAAGAAGGCCUUCGGGUUGUAAAGCACUUUUGUCCGGAAAGAAAUCCUUGGCUCUAAUACAGUCGGGGGAUGACGGUACCGGAAGAAUAAGCACCGGCUAACUACGUGCCAGCAGCCGCGGUAAUACGUAGGGUGCAAGCGUUAAUCGGAAUUACUGGGCGUAAAGCGUGCGCAGGCGGUUUGCUAAGACCGAUGUGAAAUCCCCGGGCUCAACCUGGGAACUGCAUUGGUGACUGGCAGGCUAGAGUAUGGCAGAGGGGGGGUAGAAUUCCACGUGUAGCAGUGAAAUGCGUAGAGAUGUGGAGGAAUACCGAUGGCGAAGGCAGCCCCCUGGGCCAAUACUGACGCUCAUGCACGAAAGCGUGGGGAGCAAACAGGAUUAGAUACCCUGGUAGUCCACGCCCUAAACGAUGUCAACUAGUUGUUGGGGAUUCAUUUCCUUAGUAACGUAGCUAACGCGUGAAGUUGACCGCCUGGGGAGUACGGUCGCAAGAUUAAAACUCAAAGGAAUUGACGG
rnacentral:rRNA from 1 species